AGUUUUUUUUUGUUGGAUUUCAGCUCCUUUUUUUAUUUUUAUGGAACACAUUUUUUUAAAGGGAAUUUGUAAUCAGUGAAAGAUAACAAGGAACUUCUUCUGUUGCAUUACCUUUUAAUGGCCUUGAAAAAUAUUGUCUUCAUUUAUUAUAUGAAGUAUAUUGUGGCAUUGGUGGGUUCACCCUUUGUCUUGUGAAGACUAGAAAAAGACUAAUUUUUGUGUUUCUCAAUGUUUCUUCCAGUAAAUUACUUUUAAUCAUAGAUAGUAAAAGAUCUUGUUAAUGGAUUUUUCCAAAUUAAUUUAGCUAGUUUCUUUAAAGUUAUGUAGAUGAAGCCUGUGCCAUAAGGCUGAGUGGCUAGCACUUUUAAUUUGCUUCUUCAGUAUUCUUUUGCACAAAUUAAUUAAAGGCACAUGUGCUGCUUGUUUGCAUUGUAGUUGUUAACACCUGAAGGUUUGUUGCUGUCAUAAUCUGUUGUUACCUUGAUAAUGCCUAGAUGCGUGUAUAUUCCUCUAUUAGGUGGCUGUACUGUGAUAUGAUAAAGAAAAAAACCUAAAGGAAAAAUUCUGUUUGUGUUUUGGUGGUUUGUGGUUUCAUAUACCUCUAUAGAUAUGUUUAGGCCUAUUUUUCGUUUGCUUGAAAAGGAGUCCUAUGGGUAGAGUAACACGAUUUGUAACUCUCAUACAAUAUAUGCAUGUGCGUGUCUAUAUUCACACUCUCACAUAGAGAUGCACUCUCAUAGCCCUCGAAGUCUUUUUCAUGAUGCAAUAUGAUAAAUACCUUGGAAUAUGUAGAAAUGAACAUAUUAUGUGCAAUUGCCUCCUGUAUUGAAUUUAACAUUGUGCAUUUGUUUGAUUUUUCUAAAUCACUUCUUCCAGGAGUCUGAAGAAUCACAAAUUAA
rnacentral:misc_RNA from 1 species